GGUCUGUGUGGCGUUUAGUACAGAUUUGAUAACGGAGUGCACGGAGAACCUGUAGAAGUAAACUGACUGUAGUCCAAAGGACUCCUUCGCUGCCGACGUCGACACCGCCACUGCCACAUCUGCGUUCGCUGAGCGAGACGUGCGUGGACGACGCUGACGCUGACGGCCAGUAGCCGAGGUCAGCUCAGCGGCGGUUGAAGCGAGCUGACUCAGCGGGCUGCCCAGCAGGGCAGGGCGCGCCACAGGGGAAGAAUGCGGGGCGAUGGUAGCCAGGCGGCGGCUAGUCGCCGCGCUGCUGCUGGCGCUGCUGGCGGUGUGCGCGAUGGGAGAGGAGAGCAACCGCGGGCCCAACUGCUCUUGCAGCGCUGAGGACGCGCGCCUGAGCGGCGUGCAG